GGAGAGGUGGCUGAGUGGUCGAAAGCACCGCCUUGGAAAGGCGGCAGGGGCGAAAGUUCCUCGUGGGUUCAAAGCCCACCCUCUCCG
rnacentral:tRNA from 1 species